CUAAAAUAAUUUUUUUUCAAAUAUACUCGAAAAAUCAAAUUUUUUAUAAUAAAUAAUGUCUCAUAAAGAUCUUCUUUAUCGGUAUAACUCGUCAAGUAGAUUCGUAGUUUCCACCUUUUUUCACUAUAAGACGCUGCGAUUGCUACAUUACAAAAAAUCAAAAUAUAACCAAGUUUUUAAUUCCAAAACAUGCGUUUUUUCGAGAUUUGUCAUUUCGAUUGCGAUGCAAUAUUUGCACAAUUACAGCCAGCAAGAUACACAUCAUUAAUUUCGCAAUCGCUAUAGUAUUGGCACAGAGACGUUAUUAUCAAGAUAUUUUUAUUAAAUUCACACUAAACAUAUAAUGGACUCGUGAGGAAAUAAAAAAUUUUCGUUUUUCGAAGCAGGUACUUUGACAGAGUUCGCUGUAAAGAGAGUUGUGAAGAAUUAAAAAAAAAAAAAAAAGAAAAAUAAAAACAACGCGCUCGUAAGUCAUUUAAUUAACGCUUAACUAAACGUAAUAUAAUAUAAUAGCUGCGUACAGAUUCGAUACGACGCUCGUAUUUAUCACUGUAGCUGUUAGCUUCGUUUCAUCUUUUUACAAAGUAGAGUUUCUCAGUGGAAACUCCGAUAAUAAUAGGGGAAGAAUACGUCGCUCUGCCCUAUAUUCGUCUCGGCACUAAAUAGUAAUAGAUAACUUACGAUAAUUAGAACGUUUUGCAAUUUAGUCAGAUCUCUAAGAAAUAAAUAAGUUUUCCUCUUUUAAUAAAUAGUAGUACACAGUUAAAAUCGAUUACACAGGAUCAAGCGAUACGCGAGAGGCGAGUUUCUUUUCUCAGCCCCGCUUAUCGUUCUCGCUUCCUCUCUCUGUCGACGGAAAUGAAAAAAAAGAAG